rnacentral:tmRNA from 1 species
UUAAUAGUCGCAAACGACGAAAACUACGCUUUAGCAGCCUAAACCGCUGCUAGUGUGCUGCCCUCAGGUUGCUUGUAGCCAGAGAUUCUGCAGUAUCAUAAAUUACAAGAUGCUAACCGAUGCCCUGCCUAGGGAUAAGGUUCUAAGAUUAAGUAGGCUCGCCAUUAACACCCUGUCCUUCGGGCGGUUCGUGGUCAAAUAAUAGAAGUGACUAUGCAUGUAGAUCCGAUGGCAGAGGACUGGCGGACGGGGGUUCGAAUCCCCCCAUCUCCACCA